rnacentral:lncRNA from 1 species
CCGGUGCCAAGCGCGGGAAGAAGGCCGACAAGAUUGGCAAGGAUGGCAAGAAGAAGCGCGGCCGCGGCAAGGGCAAGGAUGUCACCGACCCCAACAAGCCUAAGGGCCCCAAGGGUGCAUACAUGUGCUUCGUGCAGAUCGCCCGCCCUAAGAUCAACGCCGCCAACCCCGACCUCAAGUUCGCGGAGAUCGCCAAGAUGCUGGGCGAACAGUGGAAGAACAUGGACACCACCACCCGCGCUGGUUACGAGAAGAUGGCCGAGCAGGACAAGGAGCGCUACCAGAGGGAGAUUGCCGCCUACGUGCCCAUGUCCGAGGCUGGCCUCGAGCAGCUGCGCAAGGAGAAGGCAGCCAAGAAGUCCGCCGGUGGUCUCCAGAAGCC